rnacentral:rRNA from 1 species
CCUACGGGUGGCAGCAGUGAGGAAUAUUGGUCAAUGGACGAGAGCCUGAACCAGCCAAGUAGCGUGAAGGAUGACUGCCCUAUGGGUUGUAAACUUCUUUUAUAUGGGAAUAAAAUGCUCCACGUGUGCGUUUUUGUAUGUACCAUAUGAAUAAGGAUCGGCUAACUCCGUGCCAGCAGCCGCGGUAAUACGGGGGAUCCAAGCGUUAUCCGGAUUUAUUGGGUUUAAAGGGUGCGUAGGCUGUGUGGUAAGUCAGCGGUGAAAUGCCCCCGCUCAACGGGGUGAUGUGCCAUUGAUACUGGCAGGCUGGAGUGCGGAUGACGUAGGAGGAAUGUGUGGUGUAGCGGUGAAAUGCUUAGAUAUCACGCAGAACACCGAUUGCGAAGGCAUCUCACGAAGCCGCGAUUGACGCUGAUGCACGAAAGCGUGGGUAUCAAACAGGAUUAGAUACCCGAGUAGUC